GUGAGCAUGUUGCGGCCUUGCGGGAGAGGUCGAGCGAGACGAGGGAGCACGGGAGGGAAUAGGGACUGGAAGCUCCCCAGAGAGCGCAUUGGCGGAGAGGUCGAGCACGCCGAGGUAGCGAAGGAGCGUGAGCGGCGCCGCCGGGAGCAUGUCGGUGAGGUUGAGGCCCCGGCGAGCUCGGCGACGGAGGGGGCGCGUGGGUCCGGGUGGAGCGAGAACACGGCAAGAAUUCUGAGAAACGAAUCUGGCGGUGCCAGCCUCAGAAGGGAAUCAUUGACGGCGGUGGCAUCGUCAUCACUGGCGUAGGGGAUCGACCACUGCCCCGGCCCCGACCCCAGCCCCGGCUCUGGCCGCCGCUGCCAAGCUCCUCCAUGGGGAAUCUUUUGAGAUAUGCUUUCUCUGAAGACAGAGAGGGAAAAGAAGUGUGAGAAGUACUUCCCCAUGAGGAAGUAUGCUAUCAAGGCCUAGGUCAGAACUGUGAGAUGUUCCUAGCAUAUCAUGGCCUGUUUCUUUGCCUAGGAAGUGUUUUAAGUUUUGGUUUGUAUGGACCUUUGCUAUGUGUUGAAAGUACGGUACAUCCUCUGUUACCUCAAAUACCUAGAUGGGUUUAAGGGGCAAUUCGUAUUGGCAAU